AGCCAAAUCAUGUUGAAACAUUGAUUCCCAUACAACCAUCAUAGUUAAGCAAUAUUGAGCCUGGUCAGUACUUAGAUGGAUAACUGCUUGGGAAUACCAGGUGCUGUAAG